UACGGAGGAUGCGAGCGUUAUCCGGAUUUAUUGGGUUUAAAGGGUGCGUAGGCGGGCUUUUAAGUCAGCGGUAAAAAUUCGGGGCUCAACCCCGUCCGGCCGUUGAAACUGGGGGUCUUGAGUGGGCGAGAAGAAGGCGGAAUGCGUGGUGUAGCGGUGAAAUGCAUAGAUAUCACGCAGAACCCCGAUUGCGAAGGCAGCCUUCCGGCGCCCUACUGACGCUGAGGCACGAAAGUGCGGGGAUUGAACAGG
rnacentral:rRNA from 1 species